rnacentral:lncRNA from 1 species
GUUUAAAAUAUAGAGGUCUUUUUUCCGAAGUUUGAACAUCAGGCAAUUUUUAGGGUUUAGUUUAAAUAUUUAAGUAAUGAGCGUUUGGGCCCCCCCUUUUUUUAAAUUGACUUUUCUCUAUCUCUUGUUUCGUAUCUCCAAAAUGAUGCAUUUUUACAGAGCUUGGGAGAUCCAAGACUGUUUGCUUUUUCAGGUGGAAAAAAAAAAUCAGUUGACAAGAGAGAUCUUCAUUUUGGUCUAAUCUAUCAAAUAGCUUAACAUUGUGUAAGAAAUACAAUUGCAUCAUCAUCUGAAGCAGUGUUCUCAUGUUAGAUCUCUGUGUAAAUUUUACACACAAAAGGGAAGGCAGGUGGUGGUAGAACCCAGCUUCUUAGUAUAAUACUUCAUAAACGCUUUGUAGUAUUUGUUUGUGAUUUAUGAAUUAGAGUAGCUAAUUUUAUAAAAUUAGCAUAAUGGAAAAGAAUAGUAGUAUUUAGACUAUUAAACUAUUU